rnacentral:rRNA from 1 species
UACGGAGGGGGCUAGCGUUGUUCGGAAUUACUGGGCGUAAAGCGUACGUAGGCGGCUUUGUAAGUUAGAGGUGAAAGCCCGGGGCUCAACCCCGGAAUUGCCUUUAAGACUGCAUCGCUUGAAUCGCGGAGAGGUGAGUGGAAUUCCGAGUGUAGAGGUGAAAUUCGUAGAUAUUAGCUAGAACACCAGUGGCGAAGGCGGCCAACUGGUCCGGUACUGACGCUGAGGUGCGAAAGCGUGGGGAGCAAACAGG